rnacentral:rRNA from 1 species
CCCUUGUUUGAUCCUGGCUCAGGACGAACGCUGGCGGCGUGCUUAACACAUGCAAGUCUACGAGAAAGAGGUAGCAAUAUCUUGAUUAAAGUGGCGCACGGGUGAGUAACACGUAAGUAAUCUACCCAUAGAUUUGGAAUAACCCCGCGAAAGUGGGGCUAAUACCGUAUAAUGCAGCGGCACCGCAUGGUGAUGUUGUUAAAGUUUAUAUGACGUCUAUGGAUGAGCUUGCGCCCGAUUAGCUAGUUGGUAGAGUAAAAGCCUACCAAGGCAACGAUCGGUAGCUGGUCUGGGAGGAUGAUCAGCCACACUGGAACUGAGACACGGUCCAGACUCCUACGGGAGGCAGCAGUGAGGAAUAUUGGGCAAUGCCCGAAAGGGUGACCCAGCAACGCCGCGUGGAGGAUGAAGGCCGUAAGGUUGUAAACUCCUGUUAGAGGGGAAGAAAAACUCCGAUAGAAUCGGAGACUGACUGUACCCUCAGAGGAAGCCCCGGCUAACUACGUGCCAGCAGCCGCGGUAAUACGUAGGGGGCAAGCGUUGUCCGGAUUCACUGGGUGUAAAGGGCGCGUAGGCGGGCUAGCAAGUCAGAGGUGAAAUCUCCCGGCUUAACCGGGAAACUGCCUUUGAAACUGUUAGUCUUGAGUGCGGAAGAGAGAGACGGAAUUCCAGGUGUAGCGGUGAAAUGCGUAGAUAUCUGGAGGAACACCAGUCGCGAAGGCGGUCUCUUGGUCCGUAACUGACGCUCAGGCGCGAAAGCGUGGGUAGCAAACAGGAUUAGAUACCCUGGUAGUCCACGCUGUAAACGAUGAAUACUAGGUGUUGGGUCGAAAGGCUCAGUGCCGCAGCUAACGCAUUAAGUAUUCCACCUGGGGAGUACGAUCGCAAGGUUGAAACUCAAAGGAAUUGACGGGGCCCGCACAGCAGU